rnacentral:rRNA from 1 species
CCCUUAGAUGUUCUGGGCGGCCCGCGCACUACAAUGGCGCUUUCAGCGAGUUCCUAUGUUGAAUUUUCCUUGGUAUUCUUGGAAGCGGCGUCUUGACUUGGGAUAGAUCCUUGUAAUUGUUGGUUUUGAACGAGGAAUUCCUUGUAAUCGCGGUUGAUCAGCUCGCGUUGAAUACGUCCCUGCCCUUUGUACACACCGCCCGUCGCUCCUACCGAUGAAUCGUCCGGUGAAGUUCACAGAGUGGCGGUUCGUGGAGUUGCUCGCGAAGUGAAAUGGACCUCACGAUUUAGAGGAGGGAGAAGUCGUAACA